CCCCCUUCUAUCAAUCCCGUUUUCCAGGCAUGGUGAGACAGAAAGCCUAUAUAUUUGAUGGUUUUGGAAAUUAUUACAACAAAGAAUGGGAUCUUGCUGAAGGCAGAGGCAAUGAAUUCUGUUGGUACCAUGUAGAACUUCCAAAAAGUAACCAGAAACUAUCACUGUCAGCACAAUGCCUCAUUGAUGUUCUUUGCCCUCCUUUGAAGCUCCAAGACAUUUUGGCACUAGUUAGCAAUGGACCAUAUUGUACUCAUGUUGAUGGGGCUCUUGUGUUUAGAGUUAAUUCUCCUGGACCUCC
rnacentral:misc_RNA from 1 species